UUCUAUGGAGAGUUUGAUCCUGGCUCAGGACGAACGCUGGCGGCGUGCUUUACACAUGCAAGUCGAGCGAUGAGAUCCCUUCGGGGAUGGAUUAGCGGCGAACGGGUGAGGAACACGUGAGGAAUCUGCCUUCAACACU
rnacentral:rRNA from 1 species